rnacentral:lncRNA from 1 species
UCUAAUUGAUUAUCCUACUAGGACUUUGAUUCAAAUUAAAAUAUUAGAUGGCAUAUAACAGUUGGUGUAGCACCCCAAACCCGGCCCAGAAGUUAUGGCUGGAUCCGGCAUGCCACAUCAAAAACGUAAAAAAAAAUUUCCAUUCUAAGUCCAGAAAAUCGUACUUGAUGUUCAAAAGAUUAAUUCAUUAAGGGUUAAAGCGAAUGGAAGCUGUGCACCAGGUAGGAAACCGGAAAAGAGGUGGUGAGUCCAUCGGACUGCUUAAGUACCAAGCUCCAUUCGGAUCCAAUCCUAGACAUGCAUACCGUCAUUGCCACACCUUAACGUCAUGGAUAUUUCUAAGAAACCGAUUUGAUUAAGUCAUUUUUAGGAAAAGUGAUUAAUUUUGGAAAAUACUUUCAUUACAGAAGCUUUGCUUGUUGUCGUGUUAUUUUGAAAUCAACUGUUGUUUUUGAAAACGCGCCCUAAAGCUAUCCAAUUUCAACAGUUAAAAUAAGUAUUACCUAUCUUAGUAAUACAUAUUAAAACCAUCAAAAAUAAUUAAGCGGGCUUAUUACAUUUAAAAACCCAAAACUUCAAACGUAAAUAAAAGGAUGUCCAGUUCACCAGAAGAAAAUCAAACUUUCAGAACGGGUGACCACUCCGAAUUCCCUCACAGCUCCAAGCCCACUAUGGUUGGGGAUUACCUGCGUGGAUGAAAAUAAAAGGGGUGAGUUUGGGGAAACUCAGUGUGUAAAUUAACCCAACCAUAGUCUAUAUCAGCUCAAACCACAGAAAUAGAAUAAGUUGGCCUUAGCCUAGAACAAAAUUCAAAAUAAAGCCCAUAGGCCCAUAACAAAACAGAACAGAUAUUACAUGUUUAUGCAGAAACCCAACCAUAUCCAACCGUAUACACCCCCGUACCAACCUUACACCGUGUGGGGAGACAACUCGACCCACCCAACCGCUACACACCACAGAAUUUGCAGCAUGGCUGCCAGAACAGAUAAUGUGAUAGAGUCACCAGAUACAGAUAAUCGUGGCAGAGCCACCAGAACAGAUAUUUGUGGCAGAGCCACCAGAUCAGAUAUUUGUGGCAUAGCCACCAGAACGCUUCCUCCAUAAUAUAACCCAUGUCCCCAUGCAACAGAUAUAUAAUCAUGGCAUACAUCAUACAGAAUUAGAUCGUCAUGCUUUUCAGUCAAAAUUAACCCUAGGGGUAUAACGGUAAUUUUACACCUAGGAGUAUAACAGUAAUUUUCCAUACAUAGGGGUAUUAUAAUAAUUUAGCUACUUUUAGCAUUUUCAUGCAUAUCCUAACUAUUUACGUACUAUCAGAACACUUACCGCGCAUACUUACCGAAUUGGGCCCGUUGGCCCAUGAACCCGAUCUUUGGCCCAUUAAGCCCAAAUUAUCAAAAUGUACGAAAUCGCGCGUACUGCAGUUUAUUACUUUAGAUUACCAAAUAUACAAACCCAACUAUUUUACGAGCAUUCGCACACUCGCAAAUUCCCAAAAUACCGACUUUUCGGUAUUUCGGCUUUUCGGCUUUUGCCAAUCUAGUCUAUGAGAGGGUGUCAGUUACACACCUGUUUGCGACGAUAUGCUGACGAGAUCCACACACGAACCGCCUACAAUUGGAUUACUAACACGUUAAUCUAACUAUUCAAAUACAAACUACGUAUUAACCCCUUACAAUAUUCGGCCAACCACACCUGCAGAUCAUAGUAAGCUUAUAAGAAAUCAAUAAGCAACUCAUUAACAAAUUUUUGUUAAUGUUUACCACAUAAUCAUAAUUUCACUGCAAGCUGUCUUCCUGAGCAACAGUCACUAAAUCAUUUAUAACUGGAGCUACGAAACUCCAAAUCAAGUUCCGUUAAUUUUCCCUGAAAAUAGACUCAUAUAUCUUAUAUCCAUAAAAUUUUCAGAAUUUUUGGUUUAUCCAAUCAAUACCAGAUAUUUCUCAAAGUUUCCCAUGUUUCACUGUUUGACUAAUCUGACCACUCUUCAUUACGAAUCAAAUUUCUCAUUGUACAGAAUUCAAAAUAUGUUCUUGUUUAUUUCAUUAGAAACUAGACUCAAUAAGCUUUAAUUACAUAAUUUAUUCAGCUUCUAAUUCAUCUCCCACAGUUUAUGGUGAUUUUCCAAAGUCACGUUACUGCUGCUGUCCCAAGCAGAUUUAUUACCAAAUCACUCUUUCACACCUAUCUUGUAUGCAUGUUAUUUAAACAUGUAUAUCACCAAUCAAUCAUCACAUAUCUAUGAUUUUUACUUAAGCAUAAUCUCCAUUUCAUCAUUUUAAAGCACAACAUGUUAGCCGAUUUUCCCCUUUAGCAUUUAAGGCACAUGCACGCUCAUUUGUUUGGCUCAACUUCACAUAUCUUCCAUUUUUCAUCAAAAGAACAUGAAACAACAACCAUUUCCUUCAUUUUAAUUCAUGACCAAAUGCUCACAACACAACCAAAAAUCAAAAUAUACUUCAAGAGUUAAGGUAGAAUCAAGAAGAACUCAUGAACCUCAAAAUAGAAGCAAGGUACCAAGAACUUACCUUCAAUUUUCCUCCUCCUAAUGACCGAAUACUCAAGAGCUUUCUCCUCUCCUUUCUCUUCUCUAACUUUCAGCUAUGAUGAACAAAAAUGGACAAAACUUUGUUCUUUU